rnacentral:rRNA from 1 species
CCUACGGGAGGCAGCAGUAAGGAAUAUUGGUCAAUGGACGAAAGUCUGAACCAGCCAUGCCGCGUGAAGGAUUAAGGCCCUCUGGGUUGUAAACUUCUUUUAUCUGGGACGAAAAAAGGGUAUUCUUACUCACUUGACGGUACCAGAGGAAUAAGCACCGGCUAACUCCGUGCCAGCAGCCGCGGUAAUACGGAGGGUGCAAGCGUUAUCCGGAUUUACUGGGUUUAAAGGGUGCGUAGGUGGGCUUGUAAGUCAGUGGUGAAAUCUCCGGGCUUAACCCGGAAACUGCCAUUGAUACUAUAGGUCUUGAAUUAUCUGGAGGUAAGCGGAAUAUGUCAUGUAGCGGUGAAAUGCUUAGAUAUGACAUAGAACACCAAUUGCGAAGGCAGCUUACUACGGAUAUAUUGACACUGAGGCACGAAAGCGUGGGGAUCAAACAGGAUUAGAUACCCUGGUAGUCCACGCCCUAAACGAUGGAUACUCGACAUCAGCGAUACACUGUUGGUGUCUGAGCGAAAGCAUUAAGUAUCCACCUGGAAGUACGAUCGCAAGAUUGAAACUCAAAGAGUAGUAGACGUGAGAUGCGACGAGACACAGGAGGUUAGG